UGUAAAUCUAUACCUUUUUCUGUGUGUGU
rnacentral:piRNA from 1 species